rnacentral:tRNA from 1 species
GCCCCGGUAGCACAAUCGGUUAGCGCGCCGUACUUAUAAUGCAGAGGUUGUGAGUUCGUGCCUCACCCGGGGCA